GUGCUUUAUAAAAAAUUGUACAUUUUAAAUUGUUGUUUACCUAAAAUAUGGAUAUAAAUAUAAAUUCAUUAAUUAGCAAUGAAAAUACUAAACUGACGUUUUAAGUGGAAAUGCAAUUUGAAUUUAAAGAUGAAGUGAGAAUGUUGUAAUUAACAAUUAUUUAACUAUUUUAUUAGUAGGAAACAAUUAUUUUUAGCAUCGAUUCCUGUCGAGGCUGUCGACCAAGAUUUAAUUUUGGCGCGUUUUUAAUCGAAAUGCCACGAUACGAUACGAGACGUGCAGGCGCAUGCGUGCUGGACUACUGGUGUGAACGCGUGUGCGCGUAAUGGCGGACGGCAGCAAAAAGUAACUCUAGCAUUUCCGGGGUGAUUCUUGUUAAUUUCGGCCGUGGCAACAAAUUUUUCAAAGUGAGUAUAAAUCUGCAUUAUUUUAUUACAAUUUUGGUGUUGGGAACUGUCUUUAUUAUUUAGAUGAAUUGUUACGUUGGCGUUGAAUUCCAGAACAAUGGUGGAAUUUCUCUUGUUCACUCUGCCUGGUUAACACCGCUUAAACGAGAAGUCUUUUGGCCGCCAAAACAGACAACCGGAAAUUUUAUAAAAUUAUUAAAAUCUGGACAAGAGCCUCCCCAGGAUAACAGCUGGAAACUUCACCAAAUUAAGCGAAUUUUUUUCCAGACUGGUUAGUUUUGCUGCCUAAACCUAAACUGCUUUAUCACUUUCUAUUAAAUAUCUGUGAUUUUUUUCAAAAAACUCGUAUUUAUUACUUGUUUUUAGACGACUAUAAGAUUGCGGAGAAAAAAAUUAAAAAGGCUGAAAUUACCUCAGAUUUAACUACAGAUGCUGAGGAAUCAGCAAUUAUUUCACCUCGAAGGAAAAUACGUCCAAAGAAAUUUUCCACUGAUGAUGAGCAGGAAGAAGUGCUGUCAUCAUCAGAAGAUGAUUUUCCAAAAAACAAGAAACCCCUACCUAGACCAAAACCAAUAAUACGGAAGUCUAUUACAAACAUAUUAUCUGGUAAUGAGAUUUAUACUUAAAGAUAUCUGGCACAUAUAAAUUAUUAACUGUCUACUGUUUUAGAUUAUUCUGGCCCAAUUCAAACUUUUCCAUUAGCUUCAGCUGGACAAUCGCAAAGGUCGUUUGAGGAUAGUGAUUCUACAAAUCAACUUUAUUAUUUGCCACCUCAACAUUCAGCAAAAGAUACUCAAUUGACUAAAUCUUCAGGACAAAUUAUUAGAGGUUCUGCGUCAAAUCAGUCAUUUUGCCAGGCUGCUGUUUCGAACUCGUCACCAUAUAAUCCGUCAAGUAGUAAAGCAACUGAUGUACAGAGCAACAUCAGAGCUGUAGUGGAAAGUAAUGGAGCAAACACUCAAGAUGAUGUAAUCACUUUAUUGAAGACCAUUAGAGAACAGAACAAUCAAAUUUUGCAGUGGAUCCGAAAACAAGAUCGCAGUGGCAAUCACGCCAGUAAUACAGAUUUACCAGAUGAUAUAGGCG